rnacentral:rRNA from 1 species
GGACAGAAAGACCCUAUGAAGCUUGACUGUAAUUUGUGAUUGGAUCUGGGCUUCUCUUGCGCAGUCUAAGUGGGAGGCAUUGAUGAAUUCUUUUCGGGGAAUUCUGAGCCGAUAUUGAGAGACCACUCUAGAAAAGUUAAGAUUCUAAAGAUAUUCCUUGAAUCAGGAUAUCUGACAGUCUCAGGUGGACAGUUUCACUGGGGCGGUGACCUCCUAAAGAGUAACGGAGGUGUACAAAGGUUCCUUCAAGCUGGACGGAAAUCAGCUGAAGAGUGCAAAGGCAAAAGGGAGCUUGACUGCAAGACUUACAAGUCAAGCAGAGACGAAAGUCGGUCUUAGUGAUC